UACGAAGGGGGCUAGCGUUGCUCGGAAUUACUGGGCGUAAAGGGCGCGUAGGCGGACAGUUUAGUCAGAGGUGAAAGCCCAGGGCUCAACCUUGGAAAUGCCUUUGAUACUGACUGUCUUGAGUUCGGGAGAGGUGAGUGGAAUGCCGAGUGUAGAGGUGAAAUUCGUAGAUAUUCGGCGGAACACCAGUGGCGAAGGCGACUCACUGGCCCGAUACUGACGCUGAGGCGCGAAAGCGUGGGGAGCAAACAGG
rnacentral:rRNA from 1 species